rnacentral:rRNA from 1 species
GAUGAACGCUGGCGGCGUGCCUAAUACAUGCAAGUCGAGCGAACAGACGCUGCUCUUGCUCCUCUGACGUUAGCGGCGGACGGGUGACUCACACGUGGAUAACCUACCUAUUAGACUGGGAUAACUGCGGGAAACCGGAACUAAUACCGGGUAAUAUAUUGAACCGCAUGGUUCAAUAGUGAAAGUCGGCUUUGCUGCCACUUAUAGAUCGCUGCGCGCCUCAUGAUCUAGUUGGUAGGGUAACGGCUUACCAAGGCAGCGAUGCGUAGCCGCCCGGGGAGGGGGGUCGGCGACACUGGAAGUGAGCCACGGUCACGGCUCCUACGGAAGGCAGAAGACGGGAAUAUUCGCCGCUGGGCGAAAGCUUGACGGAGGAACGCCGCGUGGGUGAUGAAGGUCUUCGGAUCGGAAAACUCUGUUAUUGGGGAGGAACAAAUGUGUAAGUAACUAUGCACGUCUUGACGGUACCUAAUCAGAAAGCAACGGCUAACUACGUG